rnacentral:rRNA from 1 species
GUAGGUGGCAAGCGUUGUCCGGAAUUAUUGGGGCGUAAAGCGCGCGCAGGUGGUUCUUUAAGUCUGAUGUGAAAGCCCCCCGGGCUCAACCGGGGGAGGGUCAUUGGAAACUGGGGAACUUGAGUGCAGGAGAGGAAAGUGGAAUUCCACGUGUAGCGGUGAAAUGCGUAGAUAUGUGGAGGAACACCAGUGGCGAAGGCGACUUUCUGGCCUGUAACUGACACUGAGGCGCGAAAGCGUGGGGAGCAAACAGGAUUAGAUACCCUGGUAGUCCACGCCAUAAACGAUGAGUGCUAAGUGUUGGGGGGUUUCCGCCCCUCAGUGCUGCAGCUAACGCAUUAAGCACUCCGCCUGGGGAGUACGGUCGCAAAGACUG